ACAGCAGCAGCCGCGGUAACACGGAGGGUGCGAGCGUUAAUCGGAAUUACUGGGCGUAAAGGGUGCGUAGGUGGUUAAAUAAGUUAUCUGUGAAAGCCCCGGGCUCAACCUGGGAAGGUCAGAUAAAACUGUUUGACUCGAGUAUAGGAGAGGGUAGUGGAAUUUCCGGUGUAGCGGUGAAAUGCGUAGAGAUCGGAAGGAACACCAGUGGCGAAGGCGGCUACCUGGCCUGAUACUGACACUGAAGCACGAAAGCGUGGGGAGCAAACAGGAUUAGAUACCCCAGUAGUCCCUGUCUCUUAUAC
rnacentral:rRNA from 1 species